GUCUGUCCCUCUGUCCACUGCUGGACCUGCUCUGGAUCUGCUCCGAAUCUGCUCGUCCUCUCUCUCCUCCCCAGGCUGUGGCUUUUAAGAGUACGACCCAGUGACAGGCUCUACUUUAUCCUGGCUAAUUCUGAAACCAGAAGUCGUUAAACUCCAGAAUCGACCUCAGUCCUGGCGCCCGUCUUAUAUCAGAGGGACACGAAUGUUUUUUAUCUGAACUGUUUUACAACUUUUUGAUUACACAAUAUAGCCAUAUUAUACACUGUGCUGCUGAAAUGACACUAAUUACAGGAUGUAAAUGUUUUUAUGUGUUUGCCAGGUGAUGGAGCAUCGUCUCAGAUCGGUCAUCGCAUCCUCUCAUCACAGCAGCUUCCUGAGGAUCGAGCAGAAGUCUCAUCUCUCCCGAUUCUUCAGGAGAAAAGCCUUGGACCUUUUCCUUGCUUUGGAAUUAAUUAAAAGAGUAUCAGGACAAACCGCUGUCGAGGGUGGGUGGGGUAAUUGAGCUGAUGGCCCGGAGGCACCGUGACAUGACUGCAGCUGUCGAUGGUGUCGUUUCAAUCAGGGAAACAUGGACACCUUGUUUAUGAGUGCGGGGGGGGGGGGGGGGGUCAAGGUCUAAAAGGUUAUCUAGGUCCCUAGGGCUAUGGGGAGAGAGCAUGGCAGAGAAUGAGAUGGAUAGAUGGAUGGAUGGAUGGAUGGAUGGAUGGAUGGAGGAGGAGGGGAUAGAAUCAGAGAAAGAGAUACAGAAGAACAGACCCUGGUAAUAAAAUAAAGGCCUAAGGCAGGAAGUGAGAUGUGACUCGUUCUCCCAGUUACAGCAUCAUUUGUUAUCCAUUAACAAAAAGGCAUUAGAUUCUGUCACAGAGCAACUUUACAGAAAGCCAGAUGUAGAUUCAGAUCCCUAAUAAACAAGUCAGACACGAACAGACGUACGAAGGUGCACUUCUCGAUAAGUUUGUGUAAGAAGAAUAAAUGUUUGUGAACACAUAUUAAAGGAGUCUCCAGUGUCA